UAAAUAUUGUUAAAAAAUUUGUGCCAUUUUAUGGAACAUAUUUCAUCAUUGAUGAAGCAUUAAUAAAUUUUAAUAAACAUUUUCUAUCGUAUUAAAUUUUUUAUAUAAUAACUCAUCACAAUAAUCAUGAAAAUAGAUUUUUGUCAAACUAAAUUGAUGAUCCAUCAUAUUCUAAUAGCCAUUAUAUGAACGAGAAAUCAAUAAAAGUUCGUGAUUUACAGGAAUUUCCUAGAAAAAAAAAAAUAACAAAUGCAUCAGUAUUGUUCGAUAAGAAGGAGGACGCUUCCUGAUCGCACAGUCAGCUGCAAAUCUACGUUCAUAUAUGACUGUUUGGACAAACGGCAUUAAUUCUUGUUUUAUCACGGCCGAUAGGAAACUCUGUUUUCCCUGUUAUUUAUACGGUUGCUCGGAAACGUUCGACCGUUUAUCGGCUCACUGAGAAUGAUCGUGCACCGCAAUUCCUCUUCAAAGUUUAAGUGGAUCCUCGUCAAGGAAUAGUUAAAUUCCGAAGAGCCAGCUUUGCGUUAUCAGAAUGAUCGAGUUGAUCGUGCACACUUGUACUUCA